GGACAAAGUGACAGGUGGUGCAUGGUUGUCGUCAGCUCGUGUCGUGAGAUGUUGGGUUAAGUCCCGCAACGAGCGC
rnacentral:rRNA from 1 species